rnacentral:ncRNA from 1 species
UAUUAUUAGAAUAAGUGCAUUUUUUCCAUUAGGACAGUGAAUUAUUAGCAUAUCCCAAAUUUAUCAUAAAAUAUAACUUAUAGUUUAUCCCAAUUAAAUUGCUUGCAUUUUAACACAGAAUAAAUGUUAUUAAUUUGAUAAAGUGCUGAUAGAUUUAUAUUAUUACAGAGCGUUAAUUUUUUGGAAUUAUAUAAUGGCAUAAUUAUCAUUGAUUUUUGUGUUUAUUAUAUGCUCUUGUAUGAUUAACAAUGCGAAAGAUUCAGGAUACCUUCGGGACCCGUCUUGAAACACGGACCAAGGAGUCUAACAUAUGUGCAAGUUAUUGGGAUGUAAACCUAAUAGCGUAAUUAACUUGACUAAUAAUGGGAUUAGUUUUUUAGCUAUUUAUAGCUAAUUAACACAAUCCCGGGGCGUUCUAUAUAGUUAUGUAUAAUGUAUAUUUAUAUUAUUUAUGCCUCUAACUGGAACGUACCUUGAGCAUAUAUGCUGUGACCCGAAAGAUGGUGAACUAUACUUGAUCAGGUUGAAGUCAGGGGAAACCCUGAUGGAAGACCGAAACAGUUCUGACGUGCAAAUCGAUUGUCAGAAUUGAGUAUAGGGGCGAAAGACCAAUCGAACCAUCUAGUAGCUGGUUCCUUCCGAAGUUUCCCUCAGGAUAGCUGGUGCAUUUUAAUAUUAUAUAAAAUAAUCUUAUCUGGUAAAGCGAAUGAUUAGAGGCCUUAGGGUCGAAACGAUCUUAACCUAUUCUCAAACUUUAAAUGGGUAAGAACCUUAACUUUCUUGAUAUGAAGUUCAAGGUUAUGAUAUAAUGUGCCCAGUGGGCCACUUUUGGUAAGCAGAACUGGCGCUGUGGGAUGAACCAAACGUAAUGUUACGGUGCCCAAAUUAACAACUCAUGCAGAUACCAUGAAAGGCGUUGGUUGCUUAAAACAGGAAUCCACCACAGUGGCG